rnacentral:rRNA from 1 species
AACGAACGCUGGCGGCAGGCCUAAUACAUGCAAGUCGAACGGGCGUAGCAAUACGUCAGUGGCGGACGGGUGAGUAACACGUGGGAACAUGCCUUUCGGUUCGGAAUAACGCAGGGAAACUUGCGCUAAUACCGGAUGACCCGGCGACGGAAAGAUUUAUCGCCGAAAGAUUGGCCCGCGUAGGAUUAGCUAGUUGGUGAGGUAACGGCCCACCAAGGCGACGAUCCUUAGCUGGUUUGAGAGAACGAUCAGCCACACUGGGACUGAGACACGGCCCAGACCCCUACC